GCGAGUGUGGUGAAAUUGGUAUACACGCUACCUUGAGGGGGUAGUGAGAGAAAUCUCGUGUCGGUUCAAAUCCGACCAUUCGCACCA
rnacentral:tRNA from 1 species